rnacentral:rRNA from 1 species
AUGCAGGGAACAAAGGUGUGGCAUUGUGGCAAAGCUCAUCGCCAAGUUAGCACAAUUUUGCCUCCAGCAGCGCCCAUAUCCCAUCACCAUAUCUCAUCCAUCCACGUGAGAAUCUCGCUUGCCCAAGUGAGGCAAACAGUCCCUGCAAAACAGAAAUCCAUGGCGGCUAUCGGCAGGAGACAACGCCCACAAAGCACAAAACCGGCAGUGCAAAGUUCAACCAAGAAGAAGCAAAACGAUGCAAACGGAACAACAACGAUGAAACGGAGCGAAAAGAGAGACUUCGGUCUCACUAGUAGUUUCGCGUGGACUUCGACGUUUAGCUUGAUACCUCAGCUACGAUCUUGUGCCCUCGGCAGGAUCUGA